UACGUAGGGUGCAAGCGUUGUCCGGAAUUAUUGGGCGUAAAGAGCUCGUAGGCGGUCUGUCGCGUCUGCCGUGAAAACCCGAGGCUUAACCUCGUGGCUUGCGGUGGAUACGGGCAGACUAGAGGUAGGUAGGGGAGAAUGGAAUUCCCGGUGUAGCGGUGAAAUGCGCAGAUAUCGGGAAGAACACCCGUGGCUAAGGCGGCUCUCUAGUACGGUACUGACGCUGAGACGCGAAAGCGUGGGGAGCGAACAGG
rnacentral:rRNA from 1 species